rnacentral:rRNA from 1 species
AGAGUUUGAUCAUGGCUCAGAGCGAACGCUGGCGGCAGGCCUAACACAUGCAAGUCGAACGCCCCUUCGGGGGAGUGGCGGACGGGUGAGUAACGCGUGGGAACGUGCCCUUUGGUACGGAACAACUGAGGGAAACUUCAGCUAAUACCGUAUGUGCCCUACGGGGGAAAGAUUUAUCGCCAUUGGAGCGGCCCGCGUUGGAUUAGCUAGUUGGUGGGGUAAAGGCCCACCAAGGCUACGAUCCAUAGCUGGUCUGAGAGGAUGAUCAGCCACACUGGGACUGAGACACGGCCCAGACUCCUACGGGAGGCAGCAGUGGGGAAUCUUGCGCAAUGGGCGAAAGCCUGACGCAGCCAUGCCGCGUGUAUGAUGAAGGUCUUAGGAUUGUAAAAUACUUUCACCGGGGAAGAUAAUGACGGUACCCGGAGAAGAAGCCCCGGCUAACUUCGUGCCAGCAGCCGCGGUAAUACGAAGGGGGCUAGCGUUGCUCGGAAUUACUGGGCGUAAAGGGCGCGUAGGCGGACAGUUUAGUCAGAGGUGAAAGCCCAGGGCUCAACCUUGGAAUUGCCUUUGAUACUGGCUGUCUUGAGUUCGGGAGAGGUGAGUGGAAUGCCGAGUGUAGAGGUGAAAUUCGUAGAUAUUCGGCGGAACACCAGUGGCGAAGGCGACUCACUGGCCCGAUACUGACGCUGAGGCGCGAAAGCGUGGGGAGCAAACGGGAUUAGAUACCCUAGUAGUCC